GCAGGCAAGGGGACCGUCGCUGGGGUUUUUCCCCAGAGGAACUUCCCGACUCCCAGCCUUUUGCGUUCGCAUCCUGAAGGAUGCUCAGCAUCCAAAGGAAAGGCAAGGUCACUGGGCGAUGAGUCCAGGCAGGGUUAGGCCCUGACGACAACUGCAACAGAGAACGAACCAGCCAAAGGCUAUACUAGCCAUGGUAAUGGGUGAAAAGGUGGUGUAAGAGACCACCAGCGUCGUCGGUGACGGCGGCGGCUAGGCGAAUGUCUGACUGGGAGCAAGGCAGGGGGGAUGGGCCAAGGCUCAUUCCUGUCGCAGUGAUGACGCUUAAAGGGGUAACACCCCUGGCGGUAGUCGUCACCAGGCUUGGUCCUGAGAAAGAUGGCGGUUAAAAACAGAAUCGGGGGUACACCUUGCCUGCCCUU
rnacentral:RNase_P_RNA from 1 species